AAGCAGCAGUGAUUCUGGAUCUCAAAUGCUUCAACCUUUAACGGACAGUUUCAGUGCAAGAAAUAAUAUAAAGCAAAUUCUAACUUCAAAGACAGCAGGGAUGACUGUGAUCAAAGAGUAUGAAGACACUGGGAGUUUGAAAGAUUCCACAAGGCGGUUAAUGGUGAACAUAAUUGUAGCUCACAUGCAUGAAAAAGAAGGGAGAGCUGUUAGUAAAGCAACAAAGGAGUUCCAUGCCCUUGGGAUUGUGUCCCUGUUCCCAUCUUUGAAAGACCCAUACUCUAAAAAA